AAUAACUUCAUUUUUCAGUUUUUACAUACAAUGUUUCGACUCUUCGUUUUAUUUAAUUUUUUUGCGAUUAAUAUUUUAUUGUUACUAGAUGAUAAAAUAUGAAUAGUACUUUAUAAGUGACUAAUUUUUUUUAAGUUUUUGUACAUUUUUUCAAAUAAGACGAAUGACGAAUGGUCAAACGUUAGACACAGAAAUCGAAAAAUGAAGUUAUU
rnacentral:pre_miRNA from 1 species